AGAAUCAACGCUGGCGGCGUGCCUAACACAUGCAAGUCGAACGAGAAAGUGGAGCAAUCCAUGAGUAAAGUGGCGCACGGGUGAGUAACACGUGACUAACCUACCCUUGAGUGGGGGAUAACCUAGAGAAAUCUGGGCUAAUACCGCAUAAUACCUUCGGGUCAAAGGAGCAAUUCGCUUAAGGAGGGGGUCGCGGCCGAUUAGUUAGUUGGCGGGGUAAUGGCCCACCAAGACUAUGAUCGGUAUCCGGCCUGAGAGGGCGCACGGACACACUGGAACUGAAACACGGUCCAGACUCCUACGGGAGGCAGCAGUGGGAAUUUGCGCAAUGGGGGAAACCCUGACGCAGCAACGCCGCGUGGAGGAUGAAGUCCCUUGGGACCGUAAACUCCUUUCGAUCGGGACGAUUAUGACGGUACCGGAAGAAGGAGCCCCGGCUAACUUCGCGCCAGCAGCCGC
rnacentral:rRNA from 1 species